GGAGUUUGGUCCGUGUCUCAGUACCAAUGUGGGGGACCUUCCUCUCAGAACCCCUACUGAUCGUCGGCUAGGUGGGCCGUUACCCCGCCUACAACCUAAUCAGACGCAUCCCCAUCCUAUAGCGAUAAAUCUUUGCUUCUCGUCAGAUGCCAUCAAAGAAGAACAUAGAGCAUUAAUUCGACUUUCGCCGGGCUAUUCUCUACUAUAGGGAAGGUUGGAUACGCGUUACGCACCCGUGCGCCGGUCGCCAUCAACAAGUGCAAGCACUCGUCAUGCUGCCCCUCGACUUGCAUGUGUUAAGCCUGUAGCUAGCGUUCAUC
rnacentral:rRNA from 1 species